rnacentral:lncRNA from 1 species
AUGGGUCCUCAGGUUGAUUGAGAGAAUCAGCCCCAGAAUGAUCGCCAGCAUAAAACAAUCUAUGAAAAAUAUACUGUAGUUCCAGCUACUCAGAAGGCUGCGGCAGGAGGACUGAGACCAGGAGCUGGAAGCUGUAGUGCACUGUGAUCAGGCCUGUGAAUAGACACUGCACUCCAGCUGGGCAACAUGCUCACAGUGUCAAACCUGUUGGAGCCUGGAAGCAGCUGCCCAAACUCACUUAGAAAGAAUGAAGAGAAAUAAGAAAAAGCGAAAACUGAAGUUAGGAGGAGACUCAACGUAUCAAAGUAUCGUUCUGUGUUUUUGAGUCCAGCCAGGUCCAGGCAUUGGGGUUUAGUGGCCAGAGCUGGGAUUAUUUCGGCUCCUUAUGCCCUGUUCUUCUGGAUCCGUUUAACUAAAGGU